AUUGAACGCUGGCGGCAGGCUUAACACAUGCAGUCGAGCGGAGAUGAGGUGCUUGCACCUUAUCUUAGCGGCGGACGGGUGAGUAAUGCUUAGGAAUCUGCCUAUUAGUGGGGGACAACAUUCCGAAAGGAAUGCUAAUACCGCAUACGUCCUACGGGAGAAAGCAGGGGAUCUUCGGACCUUGCGCUAAUAGAUGAGCCUAAGUCGGAUUAGCUAGUUGGUGGGGUAAAGGCCUACCAAGGCGACGAUCUGUAGCGGGUCUGAGAGGAUGAUCCGCCACACUGGGACUGAGACACGGCCCAGACUCCUACGGGAGGCAGCAGUGGGGAAUAUUGGACAAUGGGGGGAACCCUGAUCCAGCCAUGCCGCGUGUGUGAAGAAGGCCUUAUGGUUGUAAAGCACUUUAAGCGAGGAGGAGGCUACUGAGACUAAUACUCUUGGAUAGUGGACGUUACUGGCAGAAUAAGCACCGGCUAACUCUGUGCCAGCAGCCGCCGUAAUAC
rnacentral:rRNA from 1 species